rnacentral:rRNA from 1 species
CACUCCUACGGGAGGCAGCAGUGGGGAAUAUUGGACAAUGGGCGCAAGCCUGAUCCAGCCAUGCCGCGUGAGUGAUGAAGGCCCUAGGGUUGUAAAGCUCUUUCACCGGUGAAGAUAAUGACGGUAACCGGAGAAGAAGCCCCGGCUAACUUCGUGCCAGCAGCCGCGGUAAUACGAAGGGGGCUAGCGUUGUUCGGAUUUACUGGGCGUAAAGCGCACGUAGGCGGACUAUUAAGUCAGGGGUGAAAUCCCGGGGCUCAACCCCGGAACUGCCUUUGAUACUGGUAGUCUUGAGUUCGAGAGAGGUGAGUGGAAUUCCGAGUGUAGAGGUGAAAUUCGUAGAUAUUCGGAGGAACACCAGUGGCGAAGGCGGCUCACUGGCUCGAUACUGACGCUGAGGUGCGAAAGCGUGGGGAGCAAACAGGAUUAGAUACCCUAGUAGUCCCAUGA